UACGUAGGUGGCAAGCGUUGUCCGGAUUUACUGGGCGUAAAGGGCGUGCAGGCGGUCUGUUAAGUGCAGGGUGAAAGCUCCCGGCUCAACUGGGAGAGGUCCUUGCAUACUGGCGGACUUGAGGGGGGGUAGAGGAAAGUGGAAUUCCCGGUGUAGUGGUGAUAUGCGUAGAUAUCGGGGAGGAACACCUGUGGCGAAGGCGGCUUUCUGGGCCCUACCUGACGCUGAGACGCGAAAAGCGUGGGGGAGCGAACCGGG
rnacentral:rRNA from 1 species